rnacentral:rRNA from 1 species
UCAGAUUGAACGCUGGCGGCAGGCCUAACACAUGCAAGUCGAACGGUAACAUUUCUAGCUUGCUAGAAGAUGACGAGUGGCGGACGGGUGAGUAAUGCUUGGGAACUUGCCUUUGCGAGGGGGAUAACAGUUGGAAACGACUGCUAAUACCGCAUAAUGUUUUCGAACCAAACGGGGCUUAGGCUCCGGCGCAAAGAGAGGCCCAAGUGAGAUUAGCUAGUUGGUGAGGUAAAGGCUCACCAAGGCCACGAUCUCUAGCUGUUCUGAGAGGAAGAUCAGCCACACUGGAACUGAGACACGGUCCAGACUCCUACGGGAGGCAGCAGUGGGGAAUAUUGCACAAUGGGGGAAACCCUGAUGCAGCCAUGCCGCGUGUGUGAAGAAGGCCUUCGGGUUGUAAAGCACUUUCAGUUGUGAGGAAAAGUUAGUAGUUAAUACCUGCUAGCCGUGACGUUAACAACAGAAGAAGCACCGGCUAACUCCGUGCCAGCAGCCGCGGUAAUACGGAGGGUGCGAGCGUUAAUCGGAAUUACUGGGCGUAAAGCGCACGCAGGCGGUUUGUUAAGCUAGAUGUGAAAGCCCCGGGCUCAACCUGGGAUAGUCAUUUAGAACUGGCAGACUAGAGUCUUGGAGAGGGGAGUGGAAUUCCAGGUGUAGCGGUGAAAUGCGUAGAUAUCUGGAGGAACAUCAGUGGCGAAGGCGACUCCCUGGCCAAAGACUGACGCUCAUGUGCGAAAGUGUGGGUAGCGAACAGGAUUAGAUACCCUGGUAGUCCACACCGUAAACGCUGUCUACUAGCUGUGUGUGCCUUUAAGGCUGUGCGUAGCGAAGCUAACGCGNUAAGU